CACCACUAGCAGUUGAAGCUGCCAGCAUGAUCUAAACUUCUCACUCAAGGGGGGAGAUCAGAUCAUGCGGCAGUUUCACCUGUUGACGGG
rnacentral:pre_miRNA from 1 species